rnacentral:lncRNA from 1 species
NGCUGGAUGCCCAGCCUCCCCUCCAAGAGCCCCAAAGGCCCGGACACCGGACCCCAGGCAGAGCGCUGCACCCCGAGGGCUGUCCAGCGGCCGUCCCAGAAGCCAUCCAGGGGGAUUCCGAGAGCAGAGGGCCGGUGGCGACGCAGCCGGGGCUGCUUGGAGUCCCGACUUCUGCAAGACACACAGGACAGCAGGGGGAACUGGUGGCCAGGGGAGGGCAGGUGGCUUCCUUUUGUCCCGUUGUUAAUUUAUGGCCUGGCCUGCACUCUGGCCACACUCUGGUACCGUGCUGGUUCCUUGGUGGCUGGUCUGGCGGCUAAACCUGGCGUGGGGCCCCGGGGGCAGCUCUGGUUUCAGGGCUCUCUGCUCAAGUCGUGUUCUGGGGGGACAAUCAUUCUCUAGCAUCUGUGAGGGAGGUAUCGGGCUGUUGGGAAGACUGUGGCUCACCUUUGUUUUUAAAGACGGCUGUGGACAGCACACGUGCCUUAUGCUGCCAUCUUGUUCCUGGGGAGAGGAGGACACUGGGGAGGAAGCGGUACUUUGUGACGGAUAAAAGGCAUUAAAUAAAACCACGUUUACAUUUUGCAGUGGGGCAGAUGG